GGAACUAUAAGGAGACUGCCGGUGAUAAACCGGAGGAAGGUGAGGACGACGUCAAGUCAUCAUGGCCCUUACGAGUAGGGCUACACACGUGCUACAAUGGGAGAUACAGACGGACGCUAAGCCGAGGUGGUGCUAAUCCUAAAAAGUCUUUCGUAGUCCGGAUUGGAGUCUGCAACUCGACUCCAUGAAGUCGGAAUCGCUAGUAAUCGCGGAUCAGCAUGCCGCGGUGAAUACGUUCUCGGGUCUU
rnacentral:rRNA from 1 species